GGUACGCAGAGCUCAGUUCGGGUCCGGCGAUGGGAGCGGCGGCAGCAGCGGAGCCCUGAAGCACCCCAGAGCCAACACCGGCCACGGACGGCGUCCAGCGGCGGGGAAUGCCCAGGGUUGAGGACACCGACAGAGCAUUCCCGGGGCAGCGAGCAACGAGAGCGGCCGAGCAUCGCCCCGGAGCGAGGACCACGGAACCGGGAGCACCACGGGGACCCAUGGAGCAUCCCCCCGGAGCAGCGGUGAAGACGGUGCUGGGAUCGGGCGGGACCUCCGCGGGCCCUACCGGAGCAUUCCCCACUGGUAAUGUGUUUUCCCAAAUAGCCUAGGAAUCCCCAUGGAGCACCAAGAGAGUGGCGGAGUAUCGGCCCGGAGCGAGGACCGCGGUGUCGGGAGCAGCACGGAGAGCGGCGGAGCAUCCUCAGGGUGAGAAGGCAGGACAGCGACAGAGAAUCCCCCGAGGCAGCGAGCAGCGAGAGCGGCGGAGCAUUCCUGUGGGCAGUGGUGAAGACGGUGCUGGGAUCGGGAGGAAGCUCCGCGGACACUAUUGGAGCGUCUCCCCAAGAGCCCUGACGAUCACCCCUCGCCCCUAUGACGUCACUGCGCUCCCAUUGGCUGCCGGCGAGAGGGCGGGGCUUAGCGGGCCUAUAAAAGGCGUGCGCGAGCGCACGGGGCCCAGUGCGGGCCUGGUGAUGGGAGCGGCGGCGGCAGCGGAACCCCGGGAGGGCCCCGGAACCAACACCAGCCAAGGACAACGGCAAGCGGCACGAAAUGCUCCGGGGUGAGGACACCAACAGAGCAUCCCCACGGCAGAAAGUUCCGAGAGAGGCCGAGCACUGCCCCAGAGCGAGCAACAUGGAACUGGGAGCACCACGGGGACCCAUGGAGCAUCCACCCGGGUCAGCGGUGAAGAGGGUGCCGGGAUCGGGCGGGAGGAGCACGGACACCCACCGGAUCAUCCCCCACAGGUAAGGGAUAUUCUCAAAUAGGGUAGGAAUCUACAGGGAGCACCGAGAGUGGCAGAUCAUCCCCGGGUGAAAAGGGAAGACUCGGGCAAAGCAUCCCCCGGGGGCAGGGGUGAAGACGGUGCCA